UGGAGGCACGCGUCUAGGGCAUCUAUAAUCAACAAGAUCAACGUCUAGCCUACAUUGGAAAGUUUCCAGGACUUUGGGGACUUAGCGAACGAUCUGUUCGACGUUUCUGUACAGACAGAGCCCUAGGUCGACGUUGUUCUCUGACUAAAGAGGAACAAGAACGCUGCGUGUCUGACGCCGUGAGCGAGGUCGGACCAUCUUGCAUCUUCAGAUUGUCAAAAAGUAAGAAGGCAACGGCCACACAAUAAACUGCAGAGAAGAUCUUCAGCUUUAGAGAUGUCCACAACUUUGAACGACGAACAAAAGAAGACGUACGCUAGUGCCACGAAACUGGAAUUGAUGUCGUCAGAAGUCUCUGAAAAUAGCAGUGAUAACGAGCCACCCUCUGAGGGAGCCUCCACUGCUGGACGUUCACAACUCCUGAUUCCUCCUCUUCCGUGGAGAGCCAUUGAAGCAACAAGGUGUUUGAGUUUUUGGACAGAAAGUACGCCAGAAGGCAGACUCAGAGAGGAACGGUACCAAGAGUAAACGGAUCGAGCUCCAUCUACCAGAACACGUCCGGGAAUGACAUUGUACCAGAGUGGGCUCUAGAAGACUUCUGCUAAUUACAAUACGUUUGAUUUUAAUACAUGUCAAAGAACAUGGAUAUAUAGAGCUAGAUCAUUCAAAUUUGCUGUUAACGUUGUUGUCCAUCGCCAAAGUUUGUUGAACUAGAGAAAUAAAUCACAUGACAAUUAA